CUCGUAGGUCGUUUGUUACGUCGGAUGUGAAAACCUGAGGCUCAACCUCAGGCCUGCAUUCGAUACGGGCAAACUAGAGUUUGGUAGGGGAGACUGGAAUUCCUGGUGUAGCGGUGGAAUGCGCAGAUAUCAGGAGGAACACCAAUGGCGAAGGCAGGUCUCUGGGCCAAUACUGACACUGAGGAGCGAAAGUCUGGGGAGCGAACA
rnacentral:rRNA from 1 species